UUUUCGGUGGCGAUAGCGACGGGGACACACCCGUUUCCAUUCCGAACACGGAAGUUAAGCCCGUCAGCGCCGAUGGUACUUGGGCAGAGAUGCCCUGGGAGAGUAGGACGUCGCCGGAU
rnacentral:rRNA from 1 species